AAGUCGUAACAAGGUUUCCGUAGGUGAACCUGCGGAAGGAUCAUUAUCGAAAGCUGUAGAUGUGGUUGUGCUGGCUCUCCGGAGUAAUGUGCACGCCCGUCUCACUCUCACCUUCAUUCAACUGUGCACUUUUGACGGAUGGGAUAUCUUUCCGCAAUUCGAUUGUGGGUUUGGGGGUCAAGCGUUCAUUCGCGUUUUCCCCUGCUUUCCCAUCCGUAACCCCCCUCACACACACUUUAAAAAUUUAACCUAGAAUGUCUGAUUGACCUUUAUUGUGUCUUAAUCUUUAAUACAACUUUUAACAACGGAUCUCUUGGCUCUCGCAUCGAUGAAGAACGCAGCGAAAUGCGAUAAGUAAUGUGAAUUGCAGAUUUCAGUGAAUCAUCGAAUCUUUGAACGCACCUUGCGCCCUUUGGUAUUCCGAAGGGCAUGCCUGUUUGAGUGUCAUUAAAUCAUCAACCACACCUGCCUUUGUGUCGUGUGUCGGCUUGGUUUUGAGGGUUUGCGGGCUCCUUAGCAGAGUCGGCUCCCUUUAAAUGUAUUAGCGAGGACUCCGUCCGCUGACCGUCUCUGGCGUGAUAAUUAUCUAGUCAAAGGCGAGAAUGUGAUGGCUUGCUUCUAAUCGUCUCGAGAGAGACCGCGAAGUGACUUUAAACCGGCCAGCUUCAUCUUGACUUUGACCUCAAAUCAGGUAGGACUACCCGCUGAACUUAAGCAUAUCAAUAAGCGGAGGAAAAGAAACUAACAAGGAUUCCCCUAGUAACUGCGAGUGAAGCGGGAAGAGCUCAAAUUUAAAAUCUGGCGGUCCUCGAGGCCGUCCGAGUUGUAAUUUAGAGAAGUGUUACCCACGCUGGACCGUGUACAAGUCUCCUGGAACGGAGCGUCGUAGAGGGUGAGAAUCCCGUAUAUGACACGGACUACCAGGGUUUUGUGGUGCGCUCUCGAAGAGUCGAGUUGUUUGGGAAUGCAGCUCAAAAUGGGUGGUAAAUUCCAUCUAAAGCUAAAUAUAGGCGAGAGACCGAUAGCGAACAAGUACCGUGAGGGAAAGAUGAAAAGAACUUUGGAAAGAGAGUUAAACAGUACGUGAAAUUGUUAAAAGGGAAACGCUUGAUGUCAGUCGCGUCUUCCGGGGAUCAGCCUUGCUCUUUUGCUUGGUGCACUUCCCGGCGGAUGGGUCAGCAUCGAUUUUGACCGACGGAAAAAGUGCUUGGGAAUGUGGCAGCCUCGGCUGUGUUAUAGCCCUUGUUCGUAUACGUCGGUUGGGAUCGAGGAACUCAGCACGCCGCAAGGCCGGACUUUUAGUCACGUACGUGCUUAGGAUGCUGGCAUAAUGGCCUUAAUCGACC
rnacentral:rRNA from 1 species